rnacentral:sRNA from 1 species
GUGGUGAGAGGGGAAGGGACAUUUACAGCCCUUUUCUCCCUCCCUUGCCCACAACUACUGUGCCCCAGCAUGGCACCCGGGUCAGCCCCUGCCAGCUCUGGAGCUGUCAUCAUCUCUCCCUCUUAUGCCUCUUCAGUGGACUGUGGCCAGGCUCCCCUGGACCCUGUCUACCUGCCGGCAGCCCUGGAGCUCCUAGACGCCCCUGAGCACUUCCGUGUGCAGCAGGUGGGCCACUACCCACCUGCCAACUCCUCUCUGAGCUCCCGAUCUGAGACCUUUCUGCUCCUACAGCCCUGGCCCAGGGCCCAGCCACUUCUCCGGGCCUCCUACCCACCUUUUGCCACUCAGCAGGUGGUCCCCCCUCGAGUCACUGAGCCCCACCAACGGCCAGUCCCAUGGGACGUGCGGGCCGUUUCAGUGGAAGCGGCUGUGACUCCAGCAGAGCCCCACGCCCGGGUUCUCUUCCACCUCAAAGGGCAGGAUUGGCCACCAGGGUCUGGCAGCCUGCCCUGUGCCCGGCUCCAUGCCACACACCCUGCAGGCACUGCUCACCAAGCCUGCCGCUUCCAGCCAUCCCUGGGCGCCUGCGUGGUGGAGCUGGAGCUUCCCUCGCACUGGUUCUCACAGGCCUCCACCACACGGGCCGAGCUGGCCUACACGCUUGAGCCUGCAGCUGAGGGCCCUGGGGGCUGUGGCUCCGGCGAGGAGAACGACCCUGGGGAGCAGGCCCUCCCAGUGGGGGGCGUGGAGCUGCGCCCAGCAGACCCCCCGCAGUACCAGGAGGUACCUCUGGACGAGGCUGUGACUCUGCGGGUGCCUGACAUGCCAGUGCGGCCCGGCCAGCUCUUUAGUGCUACCCUCCUGCUUCGGCACAACUUCACAGCCAGCCUCCUGACCCUGCGGAUCAAGGUGAAGAAGGGGCUGCAUGUGACAGCCGCCCGCCCAGCCCAGCCCACACUCUGGACUGCCAAGCUGGACCGCUUCAAGGGCUCCAAGCAUCACACCACCCUCAUCACCUGCCACCGUGCUGGGCUCACAGAGCCAGAUUCCAGUCCCCUUGAACUGUCUGAGUUCCUAUGGGUGGACUUUGUGGUGGAGAAUAGCACUGGUGGGGGCGUAGCGGUCACUCGCCCCGUCACGUGGCAGCUGGAGUACCCAGGCCAGGCCCCUGAAGCAGAGAAGGACAAAAUGGUGUGGGAAAUCCUGGUGUCUGAGCGGGACAUCAGAGCCCUUAUCCCACUGGCCAAGGUAAGGAGACCUCCAUCUCUGCCCGGGAAGGCUGGAGGCCAAGUCCCAGGAGCCCCAUGAGCUGAGGGGCCUGGGGCUGAGCCCCUCCUCCACCCCCAGGCUGAGGAGCUGGUGAAUACAGCACCACUGACUGGAGUGCCCCAGCAUGUCCCCGUGCGCCUUGUCACUGUGGACGGCGGGGGGGCCUUGGUGGAGGUGACAGAGCAUGUCGGCUGCGAGUCUGCCAACACACAGGUCCUGCAGGUGAGUGGCAGGUGCCCAGCUCAUGUGAGUCUGCAUUUGUGUGGGCACAGUUACGCACGCACACCUUUCCUCCUUCCUCAUGUGGGUCCCCAAGAGAACAGCUUCUUCUUGAGACGAGAAACCUCAUGGGAGGAACCACAGCUUCAACUUCUUUUGUUCCAGCCACCUCUCUCCCGAGUCAAGUAACCCUAACAGCCCCCCGACCUUAGACACUUUCACGCUCAUUAUUGCACUGGCAAGUGCGCUGGCCUGAGAGAGUCGAGAGCACAUACUCUGGGAUCAGAAAGUUUUAGUCUGAAACACAUCUUUGUUGUCAACCAGCUUUGUGAUCAUGGGCUGGUCUCUUAACCUCUCUGAGCCUCGUUACCUAAACUUUAAAAUGGGAACAUAUCUUCGGGUUGUUGUAAGAAUUAAAAGCACUUUAAGACAGUAUUUAGCAGAUAGCAGGGGCUGAAACAAUGGCAGUUAUUGCUGUUAUAAUAUGAUGUAAUAAUUAUACAAUGGUAAAAAUUAUUAUUAUUAUUAUUACUGGUGAUUGUGAAGCGAAAUAAAAGGGAGGGUGGUAGAGCAACUUCCUCUAUCUUGAAGUUCUAAGAGGGGAAGCAUGGAGUCUGUAUGUAUGCAAAUCCCAGCCACCUGAAGGGAGAAGGUGCCUUUCCCCACUUGUGGUCCUUUGCUCAAAUGUGUGUGGUUCCUGCUGGAGGGCCUUGGUGGGAGAUCUGCUUUGUCCCACCUCUGCCUACCUGGCUGUAGCUGGUUGCCAGGUGGCUCCAAGAGCAAUGUCAAAGGCCAGCAUGAAUAAGGAGCCAAAGUUUUGGGUUCACACCCCUGCUCUGCCAGGAGGAAGACUGGUAUGCAAUGGCCAGUUCCCCUGACUGAGCCCCAGGGAACCUCAAGGAAUGGCCCCUACAGUAAAAUCUUAAACAAAGAACAGGGCUUAACCAACAAUCCUGCUGCAACAUGCAUUCCAGUGACACACAGAGCUGAACUCAGUGGGAGCCCGUCCUACGGCCUGAGGUCAGGGCUGCUCUCUUCUGGCCCAUGCCUUUUUUUUUUUUUUUAAAUCUAUUUAUUUUGAAACAGAGUCUCACUCUGUCCCCAGGCUGGAGUGCAAUGGUACAGUCCGGCUCACUGCAGUCUCAGCUACCCAGGCUCAAGGGAUCCUCCCACCUCAGCCUCCCCAGUAGCUAGGACUACAGGCAUGUGCCACCACACCCGGCUGAUUUAUUGUAUUUUUUGUAGAGAGGGAGUUUUGCCAUGUUGCCCAGGCUGGUCUCAAACUCCUGGACUCAAGCGAUCCACCCACCUCGGCCUCUCAGAGUGCUGGGACUACAGGCAUGAGCCAUCCACCGGGCCCAGCCUCACACCUGUCUUUAGUGGCUUAGCCCGCCCGCCUGCCCUCUGCCCUUCCAUAGGUGUCUGAGGCCUGUGAUGCCGUGUUCGUGGCUGGCAAGGAGAGCCGGGGCGCCCGUGGGGUGCGAGUGGACUUCUGGUGGCGCCGGCUCCGCGCCUCGCUGCGGCUGACCGUGUGGGCCCCGCUGCUACCGCUGCGUAUCGAGCUCACCGACACCACCCUCGAGCAGGUCCGCGGCUGGAGGGUACCUGGCCCUGCUGAAGGGUGAGUGGAGGCCUGAGGAAGCUGGCAGGCCUUGGCGAGUCACACUGGGACGGAGAGGGCGCAGGGGACACAGCCAUGGGCCCAAGUCGGGGUCAGAAAAACUGCCCUGUUGCUUGCAGUUCCUUCUGCCCACCUCCACCCUGGGCCGCCCAGCCAAUGAUCGCUUUCUGUGAAAUUGCUGACCUCCGCAUCCCUCUCCUCCUUCCCUGCCUCACUUCUCCGGUAGCACCCUCCACUUCCUAAUCUACAUCAGUACUGGUUAAUGUUGCCUGUCCAUCCUUUCCACGCUCCUCCCCCGAGAAUGUCAGCCCCUUGAAGCCGCGGUCUGUCUAUGCUGGUCGUACCCUCAGAGCCUAAGAUGACACAGAGCUCAGGAAAUGAACACCCUCGAAGGGGGCUCCCCAAAACCCAGGGAGAGGUGGCCCACGCCUCUGGAAUCUAGCUUCCAGGCCCUUCAGAGAGUGAGCGCCCCCAGGGUCCCCGUAAGAGAGCGUCUCCCCUGCGGUCCACUUGGGAGCAAGAGCAGUGAUCAAGGCACAGCGCCAGUCGGGAGUGGGCUGGGGCGGCUCGCCUGCAGGUGGAAGGGCCUGACCCCAAGAGGGGCGGAUGUCUGCGUUUGAGAAACAGGAGCUGCUGGUGAUUAGGAGCCGCCGGGGACGAGCUGCGGGUCUCCAGCAGCUGGGCCCUGGGCAGGCUGGGGCCGCUCAGCGCUGACGGCCAGUCCCGGCCUCCCCGCCCUGCAGGCCUGCGGAACCCGCUGCAGAGGCGUCAGAUGAGGCCGAGCGGCGCGCCCGCGGCUGCCACCUGCAGUACCAGCGGGCCGGUGUGCGCUUCCUCGCCCCCUUCGCGGCCCACCCGCUGGACGGCGGCCGC